AGCCAAAAUAAUCCAUCUGUUGUCUGCUCUGAAAGUAGGAGAGCAACAUUUUAAUUAAUGUAAGCCUUCAUGUAUAUUUAGUCAUUUUCCGGCUGGCGUGCACAGAAUGUGCCGGGAAUCUUUGAUUCCAUUUGUUUUCCUUUUGGUCUGCUAUAAUCAGGCGAGUUUAAAAAUCCCGCAGGCGAGUUAUGAAGCAUUUCAAGGUGAAAUAUCGGAUUUUUUUCCUCUUUCCCCCUAAGUUGAUUAUCCAGGAGAAAUGAGAAAUGAGUCUCAUAUUUCAAGGCAGAGUUCAGUGAACUGUGGUCAUGUGAUUAAUACCCUUCUCAGUCUUUGCCGAAAAGCUAAUGCCUGGCUUCGGGUUUACAAAAAACAACAACAACAACAACCCCCCUCCCUCCUCCCAUCCGCUCAGCCUAGUUCCUCUGUCAGAUAUCUGUAGCGGUUGUGAGGAACUUUGAUCAUCAGAGUGCUGUGCUUGUCCAAACCAACUCCCACACAGUAAAAACACACACACACACACAUGCGGUUCAGCUUGCGUAACAUAUUUUGCAUUAGCUCGAACAGAGGAGGACUCUUGGACUGAAAUGCCUCCCGAUGGUGGCGACCGGCAGAAAUAGAGCCCUGCAUGAGGCUACACACUGAGCCGCACCGUUGUGUUUGCUGUGCCGGAGCUGGAGCCAAACAAAGAAGCGGGGAGAUGUCAGCUGCAGCCCGUCCACGCCCACACACACACAGGAAGGCACCUAAUUAGCUAAAAAAAUCUGACUGAGAUGCGCCUUGAGGAAAACACAAACUGAAGUUGUGUACCAGGACGUCUCCACAUCCGUUUGGCUUCGUGUGAUUUUUGGAUGUCAAAUCAAAAGGCGGUUGUCAGAGCAGACAGCUCGCUUGUUUCACGCAAACCUUCCAGUGGGCAGCGCUGGAGAAGCGCGUCGUACAGGAAAACACUGCUGCCUUUGUGAGCUCGGAUCCAUCAGGCGGGACCUGCGGAGGCAGGCGGGGCGAUCCGGGCUUUAAAGACUCCAGUGGGCCGGAGUGAUCUCCUGCCAGGGACUUGACGCGCCGUGGGGCAAGUAGCGACUUUCUGAUGACAGACAGAAUUUUCGCUCAGUGUAUUUAGACACGCAUGUGCAGUGACACAUGUAUCAGAGGAUGUACGAUGGGCCAUUCUGCAUGUCAAUCAAGUCAUGUACUUCUUAGUGAGGAUUAUUUUUUGGUUAUUUAUCUUUGCUGGCCUGCGAUCUACCCUCAUGUCCUUGAAGAUUGGCCGGCCGAUCGCGAUCGACCUAAUGAGCCCCCCUGACCUGGAGUGUGGCGUAGGGACACCAUAUGACAGCAUCACGCUUACUUCAUCACAUUAGCCAUGAAGUGAGGAGAACAAGAGGACCAAAGUAAGCGUCGGUCUGAAAGGGCAGCAAAGUGAAAUCUCAUCCAGGAUGUCAUGGAAGGAGAUCCGGAGAACCGCAGGCCUCCCUGGACUCGCUUUCCUUUACAGACAAAAACGCUGCAACAUGAACUGCAAAACAGAGUUUUGCUACACACCAAAAUAAAGGAACGGCAAAAAAUAAACAGAUAGAGUGAAAGAAAAGAGAAAAGAUAACCUGGAAAAACAGGAACCUUCUCAAGAGCGAGGACCCAUCCAGGAGGUCAUGAACAUGGAAGGAGGAGCAUCUUCAUCAGAUGGGAUUCACAGCAGAAAUGUGUCAUCAGAGUUUGUGCAAGUUUAGAUUUUUUGUUAGCAAAUGUUUCCAAAAUAAGAUGACUAAAAGUCGUGGUAUUAAGUAGUAUGUAUUCAGGUUUAACCCUUUAGCCCCUGAGCUGUUGCUGAUUCAAAGACGUCUUUGAGCGUCCGUUACGCAUCGACCAUUAAAGCAAAUUACAGAAUUCUGACAGCAGAGAAAAGUAGAUUUGCACCGAUAUGCAACACUUCACAAAUAAAUAAAUACACACAUACCAA